rnacentral:rRNA from 1 species
UGACUAGGUAAUCCAUCUGAAGCUGAGCAGGUUUGGGCCUGGCCACUACUUGGGUGGGAGACCAACUAGGAAAUCUGGUUUCCUAGUCAU